rnacentral:lncRNA from 1 species
CUUCAGUAAGCAAGUAGUGGUCUGUGUUUCCCUAUUCCCUCAAAUCGAAGCUGAAUAUUAAGCUGAUUCUUACCUGACUGGUUGAUGGAUCUUGUUUCUUAUCCAGUUCCUUUAGGUGCUUCUUAGACAAUUCAGGACUUGGGUUCUUGUUUCCUCUUUCUAACAAAUAACCCCUGUCCUUAUGACCCAGACAGGGAAGCCUGGACCAGAGUGGACCCCAACCCAUAGGAAAUGAGGCACUGUGCAGGCCUGGCUCCUAAUAUUUCCUCCCCAGAGGGUGAGCUAGAGAUACCAUGAUGAGAUACCCUGUGUGGAGUACCUGAACAAGAGCCUGCAGAGGGCACCUGGGACCAGGCUGCCUUUCAGGAGUCACUUCAAGAAAUGCUGAGCUAAAUGAAAUGUGAAAAGGAAAAGGAAAUCAUGGUGAAAGAUCAUCAUAAGAGGUUUGGGUUUUCACAGUGUAAUGCCACACAGUAUGAAAAACUGCUUCUGUGAUCACACCAACCAGAGGGAACAAAGGUCUCUUCCAAUUUAUCUUCUACCCCUACUUGCAAAAAAAAGCAGGCAUAUCGUCUUGCUACAAAGGUGGAAUUCCUGUUUCCAGCAGUUAUCCAGAUACAAUAUCCACAUAAGCCAGUAGUGACAUUGAUUGAUCGAUUGAUUGAGUUACUCAAAGAUGACCGAGAAGGUACCAGUUAACUUUUUACAUUUUAUGUGAUUUUCUUUUAAAGCUUAAGUGCUUCUGUUUUUUUGUUUAGAUACCGGGGAUCGAACUCAGCACCUUGUGCUUGCGAAGCAGGCAGCAGAACCACUGAGCUAAAUCCCCAGCCCUUAAGUGUUAAGAUGUGAGUUGAAACAAAGAAUU